UACAGAGGGUGCAAGCGUUAAUCGGAAUUACUGGGCGUAAAGCGUGCGUAGACGGUUAUGUAAGUCAGAUGUGAAAGCCCAGGGCUCAACCUUGGAAUUGCAUUUGAGACUGCAUAGCUAGGGUGCGGAAGAGGGAAGCGGAAUUUCCGGUGUAGCGGUGAAAUGCGUAGAUAUCGGAAGGAACACCAGUGGCGAAAAGCGGCUUCCUGGUCCAGCACCGACGUCAGGCACGAAAGCGUGGGGAGCAAACAGG
rnacentral:rRNA from 1 species